CAGUAGCCGCGGGAAUACAGAGGGUGCAAGCGUUAAUCGGAUUUACUGGGCGUAAAGGGCGCGUAGGUGGUUAUGUAAGUGAGAUGUGAAAUCCCCGGGCUCAACCUGGGAACUGCAUCUUAUACUGCGUAGCUGGAGUGCAGUAGAGGGUAGUGGAAUUUCCGGUGUAGCGGUGAAAUGCGUAGAUAUCGGAAGGAACACCAGUGGCGAAGGCGGCUACCUGGACUGACACUGACACUGAGGCGCGAAAGCGUGGGGAGCAAACAGGAUUAGAUACCCCGGUAGUCCCUGUCUCUUAUAC
rnacentral:rRNA from 1 species